ACUGUAUAAAAGGGUUGCAACCCGGUGCAUUUUCAACAACAGCUCUUUCUCCUUCCUUCUGCUUCUGAAGCACUUCUCCACAGACAACCAGAUCUCAUCCCACCCUGUCAAGAUGACUUACUGCAGAACUGCCAGCAGCGUGCCUUAUGGCUCAGGCUCCGGUUUUGGCUCCUGCUAUGGUGGAGGAGGAUCUGUAGGAUCGUGUGGAUUGGCCCCAGCCUAUGGGGUCGGCUCUCUCUCUGGCGCCGGCGGCAGGCUCGGCAUCAUUGAUGCAGGCUUCAGUUAUGGUCCUGCAGCUUGCUCCAGUCAGCUUCCAGGGUCAGAGGUGGUGAUCCAGCCCCCACCCUGUACCGUGUCUAUCCCAGCACCAUGCCUGUCUCUAUCUGCAGAGCCUGUUUCUGUGAGCCAGGUCCCAUCAGGUAGCUACCCGGCUCUGGACUCCUCUGGUGGGUCUUCUAGUGGAUCUCCAUACGGAGGGUACGGCGGAGUAGGAUAUGGUGGAGGGUAUGGUGGAGGGUAUUGCAACUACGGUGGCUACAGUGGCUGCAAAAGAUACUUCAGAAGAUACCUGCCUUCCUACUGUGGACCCUGUUAAAUGCUGACACUUGCCUUGCACAGAUAGGAUUUACAUGAAAAUGACGACGAGAUGCCAAUCUAGGACGGUGAACACCUGUCCUGGGAUGGAAUGUCAGACAUGCUGAUCGCCACUCUUUUCCUGCUUUAAGACGGGUGAGAGUUGGGGUGCACAGUGCUCCUGAAGGAUCAAGGCUGAUUAUUUUCUUACUCUGUUUCUCCUUGACCUGCUCCUCUUUCUUUCAGUAUUUUUUUUUAAUGCCACCAUCAUCUCAAUAGCGUUGGCAAGGCCACUGUUGAAUACCUCCUUCAGUGGGUGUGGAACCAUGCACGCACACUGUCCACUUUUCUAUGUAGACUGUCACCUGCCAUCUUAUGUGUAUAAUGUGCAUCACCAUCUCAUACCAUUUCCUUAGUGCUCCUCUGUUCACCUCUCUUUUUCAUAAUAAAGCUUAAUGCUGUAUCAUCA